rnacentral:tRNA from 1 species
GCCCUGGUAGCUUACACCCUAAAGCAUUGUUCUUGUAAACCAAAGAUGGUUUUCCCCCAGAGCA